CCUCUGUCCCAAAAUAAGUGUUCAUCUCUAAUGUUUGACUAUCCAUCUAAUUUUUUUAUGAUUAGUAUUUUUGUUAUUAUUAGAUGAUAAAACACAAAUAGUAUUUUAUGUGUGAAUAUUUUUUUUAAUUUUUUCAAAUAAGACGAAUGGUUAAAUGUUGGACACGAAAACCCAGAGGUACACUUACU
rfam:Oryza punctata chromosome 2, whole genome shotgun sequence.